GAACACAAUCUCGACUCUGGGUGAACUGGGCCAAGUCCAGCCAAAGACACUGAAAGAAUUGAGUUUUUAGAAUGUCCCAGCCAGGCAUUCUGUGACUCCUAACUCUGUCAUAUUUCUGAUUUCUGUCUUCCAGUUUUUUCCCUGAAGAGCCAGAAAGAACUAACUAGGCUCUCAAAGAGCCACAGGGGUGUGGAGCUGCCACCAACAAACAUAGCAGUAGGAAAAUCUUCAGGGGACAAACCCCUGUACCAGCACAUAGAAAUGGUAGAAAAUGCCUUUGUCACCUUAGAGGAUCAAGACUGAGGUGGAGCAGAUUCUCAGCUGAAGCCGACCCGACAGUGUUUCAUUUUCAUGUGUUUGUAUCUGAAUCGCGGCUGACAAGAACCAAACUCUCGGAGCACUCCGGAGGCACAAUGUACCGGGAGUGAUCUGAGGUCUCCCGCCUAUGGUGACACAAGAGACUUGCUGGCGACAGGUUCUACUGUUGCCUCCUUCUCCAAGAUGCCGCCUUGGCAGGACACCAGGGCACACUUCAUCCGCGGUGACCUCCACGCCACAGGCAAAUGCGGAGCGACAAGGGCCCCUCCGCUCAGGCACAGCCCACAGCAGUGAGAGCCAAGCAACCGAGAGGUGUGCGUUCCCGGCAAAGGCGAGAGGGUGGCCUAGGCAGCAGGGGCGGCAGAGGUGGGGAGUGCACCCAGGAGAGGGAAUUCCAUUCCGACGCUUGGUAUUUGUUGGGAGGAAAUUCGACCCUCCAGGAGCAGUGGGCUGGUGUCUGCGCCCUUUCCUGUCUGGGCUUAAAAAGGAAUUCUCCAUCUGCCGAGAAAAACUCGCGCGGCGGGAUCCAAUCCCUCUGAGUUGUGGGGAGUCCUGCAGACACCUUCACCCCCCAAGGUCCUCAUUCUGAACUGCUUUCCGCACGACAAACAUCAGUGCCCUCCCCCAUUCCCUCUCGCGAUCUACCAAGGCGAUACUUGGCCAAGUUCAAAUAUACAAGCCUCUUUUCAA